rnacentral:rRNA from 1 species
GACGAACGCUGGCGGCGCGCCUAACACAUGCAAGUCGAACGGAGAAAGAAACAGCUUGCUGGAUCUUUCUUAGUGGCGGACGGGUGAGUAACACGUGAGCAACCUGCCCUUCAGAGUGGAAUAACGUUUGGAAACGAACGCUAAUACCGCAUAACACCAUUGGAUGGCAUCAUCUGAUGGUCAAAGAUUUAUCGCUGAGGGAUGGGCUCGCGUCCGAUUAGGUAGUUGGUGAGAUAACAGCCCACCAAGCCGACGAUCGGUAGCCGGACUGAGAGGUUGAACGGCCACAUUGGGACUGAGACACGGCCCAGACUCCUACGGGAGGCAGCAGUGGGGGAUAUUGCACAAUGGGGGAAACCCUGAUGCAGCGACGCCGCGUGAGGGAAGACGGUCUUCGGAUUGUAAAACCUCUGUCCUUGGUGAAGAAUAAAUGACGGUAGCCUUGGAGGAAGCCACGGCUAACUACGUG